rnacentral:lncRNA from 1 species
UCUAAAUGAUCUAUUGGGCAGAGAGAGAGGCAGGCAGCACGUGAGUGAAGUGAGAGGGAGUGGAAGAGAACAAUGAUGGGAAUGGAAGAAUGAAGAAGAGGUCUCCAUGGAGAGGAGGAAUACAAGACGAUCCUGAGGUAUCUCAUGCUGAAAAGUAAGAACAUUCUUAAAGAAUGAGAAAGCAUAUCAAAAGGACAAAAAGGCAGCUUGAAGGAGCUCCCACAUGUCAAAUCUAGGACAAUGGAUAAAAUCAACUGCUGUUAACUAUAGUAGGUAAAAAUUUGAUUCAUGUGAUCUUUGAGUCAUUUUCACAAAAUGUAUCUCCACCUUACAAGGGAGGGUUCUGUAGAUAUCAUCUUAUCCAUAUGAUCUAAGUUAAUAUCGCUAAUA